rnacentral:rRNA from 1 species
GACGAACGCUGGCGGCGUGCCUAAUACAUGCAAGUCGAACGCUUUUUCUUUCACCGGAGCUUGCUCCACCGAAAGAAAAAGAGUGGCGAACGGGUGAGUAACACGUGGGUAACCUGCCCAUCAGAAGGGGAUAACACUUGGAAACAGGUGCUAAUACCGUAUAACACUAUUUUCCGCAUGGAAGAAAGUUGAAAGGCGCUUUUGCGUCACUGAUGGAUGGACCCGCGGUGCAUUAGCUAGUUGGUGAGGUAACGGCUCACCAAGGCAACGAUGCAUAGCCGACCUGAGAGGGUGAUCGGCCACAAUGCGACGUAGACACGGCCCAGACUCCUGCGGGAGGUAGCAGUAGGGAAUCUUCGGCAAGGGACGAAAGUCUGACCGAGCAACGCCGCGUGAGUGAAGAAGGUUUUCGGAUCGUAAAACUCUGUUGUUAGAGAAGAACAAGGAUGAGAGUAGAACGUUCAUCCCUUGACGGUAUCUAACCAGAAAGCCACGGCUAACUACGUGCCAGCCGCCGCGGUAA